GACAGAGGGUGCAAACGUUGUUCGGAAUUACUGGGCGUAAAGCGUGUGUAGGCGGCCAUGUAAGUCGGGUGUGAAAGCCCCGGGCUCAACCCGGGAAGUGCACUCGAAACUGCGUGGCUUGAGUAUCGGAGAGGUUGGUGGAAUUCUCGGUGUAGAGGUGAAAUUCGUAGAUAUCGAGAGGAACACCGGUGGCGAAGGCGGCCAACUGGACGAAUACUGACGCUGAGACGCGAAAGCGUGGGUAGCAAACAGG
rnacentral:rRNA from 1 species